AUCAACUUUCGAUGGUAGGAUAGAGGCCUACCAUGGUGGUAACGGGUAACGGGGUGUUAGGGCACGACACCGGAGAGGGAGCCUGAGAAACGGCUACCACAUCCAAGGAUGGCAGCAGGCGCGCAAAUUACCCAAUCCCGACACGGGGAGGUAGUGACAAUAAAUAACAAUACGGGGUUCUUUCGGAUUUCGUGAUUGGAAUGAGUACAAUUUAAAUCUCUUAACGAGGAACAAUUGGAGGGCAAGUCUGGUGCCAGCAGCCGCGGUAAUUCCAGCUCCAAUAGCGUAUAUUAAAGUUGCUGCAGUUAAAAAGCUCGUAGUUGAAUUUCGGGACCAUCAUGUCGGUCGUGCCUCGGUACGUACUGGUAUUGUUGGUUUUUCCCUUCUGACGAACCAUGAUGUCAUUUAUUUGGUGUUGUGGGGAAUUAGGACUGUUACUUUGAAAAAAUUAGAGUGUUUAAAGCAGGCUCACGCUUGAAUACAUUAGCAUGGAAUAAUGAAAUAGGACGUUUGAUUCUAUUUUGUUGGUUUCUAGAAUCGACGUAAUGAUUAAUAGGGAUAGUUGGGGGCAUUAGUAUUCAAUUGUCAGAGGUGAAAUUCUUGGAUUUAUUGAAGACUAACUACUGCGAAAGCAUUUGCCAAGGAUGUUUUCAUUAAUCAAGAACGAAAGUUAGGGGAUCGAAGACGAUCAGAUACCGUCGUAGUCUUAACCAUAAACUAUGCCGACUAGGGAUCGGAUGAUGUUAAUUUUUUAAUGACUCAUUCGGCGCCUUACGGGAAACCAAAGUGUUUGGGUUC
rnacentral:rRNA from 1 species